rnacentral:tRNA from 1 species
AAGUAUAUAGCUAAGUUGGUAGAGCACCGGACUUUUAAUCUGAUGAUUUGUGGUUUAAGUCCCAAUAUACUUA